rnacentral:rRNA from 1 species
GACGAACGCUGGCGGCGUGCUUAACACAUGCAAGUCGAACGAAGAGCGAUGGAAGCUUGCUUCUAUCAAUCUUAGUGGCGAACGGGUGAGUAACGCGUAAUCAACCUGCCCUUCAGAGGGGGACAACAGUUGGAAACGACUGCUAAUACCGCAUACGAUCUGACCUCGGCAUCGAGGAUAGAUGAAAGGUGGCCUCUAUUUAUAAGCUAUCACUGAAGGAGGGGAUUGCGUCUGAUUAGCUAGUUGGAGGGGUAACGGCCCACCAGGGCGAUGAUCAGUAGCCGGUCUGAGAGGAUGAACGGCCACAUUGGGACUGAGACACGGCCCAGACUCCUACGGGAGGCAGCAGUGGGGAAUCUUCCGCGAUGGACGAAAGUCUGACGGAGCAACGCCGCGUGAGUGAUGACGGCCUUCGGGUUGUAAAGCUCUGUUAAUCGGGACGAAAGGCCUUCUUGCGAAUAGUUAGAAGGAUGACGGUACCGG